rnacentral:rRNA from 1 species
UGGGGAAUAUUGCACAAUGGGCGCAAGCCUGAUGCAGCCAUGCCGCGUGUGUGAAGAAGGCCUUCGGGUUGUAAAGCACUUUCAGCGGGGAGGAAGGCGGUGAGGUUAAUAACCUCACCGAUUGACGUUACCCGCAGAAGAAGCACCGGCUAACUCCGUGCCAGCAGCCGCGGUAAUACGGAGGGUGCAAGCGUUAAUCGGAAUUACUGGGCGUAAAGCGCACGCAGGCGGUCUGUCAAGUCGGAUGUGAAAUCCCCGGGCUCAACCUGGGAACUGCCUUCGAAACUGGCAGGCUAGAGUCUUGUAGAGGGGGGUAGAAUUCCAGGUGUAGCGGUGAAAUGCGUAGAGAUCUGGAGGAAUACCGGUGGCGAAGGCGGCCCCCUGGACAAAGACUGACGCUCAGGUGCGAAAGCGUGGGGAGCAAACAGG